rnacentral:rRNA from 1 species
UCGCAGGCCGCAACUCGCCUGCGUGAAGUUGGAAUUGCUAGUAAUCGCGGAUCAGCAUGCCGCGGUGAAUACGUUCCCGGGCCUUGUACACACCGCCCGUCACACCAUGGGAGUUGGGAAUGCCCGAAGCCGGUGACCGAACCGAAAGGACGGAGCCGUCGAAGGCAGGUCUGAUAACUGGGGUGAAGUCGUAACAAGGUAUC